rnacentral:lncRNA from 1 species
AGUGAAUUUUAUGUAAAAUAUAUAUAAAUAUGAGCUUAUCAAAUACCCCCACACUUAACUUUUGCUAGUCCUCGAGCAAAAUAAAGAAAACAAAACACAACCUAAACCUUCCAACGUUUGCCUCAGGGAUUUCCAACGCACAUGCAAAGUUAAAAUCAUCAUUCCCACAGAUUUUAGUCUACUUAACACUUGAGCACAUACUUAAUCACAGUCACUACUUACUAGUUCACAUUUAACCAAUUAAAACGAUGUUUUGAAUGUAGUAACAUGCCUUAGAGAAUUUGCUUAAUUCCUUACAAGAUAUGCACUCAAUUUUCACUCAGAUUUUCUGACUACACACCCUACACUAUGUACAUGUGAGAAGAUUGAUGUAAACAUGAAAACUAGUACUCACAUAUAUGUAUAACAAGAAAGCAUUUUCUAGUAUUAAUAAGCAUGUUUAGAUAUGAUCUCACGAAUGGAAUGCUACUACUUAGAUGCGAGAACCAGUGACACCAUAUGCUCAUACCAAAUUCAAACUCCAUAAAUUGAAACACAUAAAACUCAAGAUAGAAGUCAAGGGUUGUAACGGGGCUUGGGGUGUUGGCUAAUAAAGAAAGGAUAGGAAUAACAAAUGUUCUUAAAGUGAUAACAAGCAAGCAAUGAAAUAGACACUUUGGAAUUCACUUUAGAAUGCAGAAUCAACUUUUAAAUACAAAGGGAAGAUUCAUGCAACACUUAGGGCUCUUUUUCACAACUUUUCUUCUUUUCAUUCUAUUUUCCACGAAUGUAUUUUUUUCUUUUUCUUUUCUACCCGUGCCUUAUUAAGGACUUUGGCACACACACACACACAAGAAUCACUUCCCCUACACUUGUUUUUCUGCAAAAGUUCAACAAAAGGAAUUCCUUCUAAAUUAUGUUUUACUAUGCUUCAAGAACAAGGGUAUGGAUGGUCCUAAUCUAGGCUAGGUGAGGAUAGUGUGGGUUAACAAAGAACAUAGGCUACACAAGGCUCAACGGGGUUAAACUUAAACACAUAAUGAAAUAGGGCACGACAAUUUGGCUGUGGUGGUCACUACACAACUUCAUCUUGAAUAUAUAUUAUGCAAAUCAAUAACAUGCUUUGAAUGAAAUAGGCAUGAGUUCUAGCAUUUGGAACUAACUGAUGAAACGCUUUCUAAGUAGCAACUAAGCAAAGAAUAAUGAGAUCAUGCAACGACUUUAGAAAACAAUGAUGCACAGAUUAUUAACUCUCCAAAUAAACAUUUAGGCUCAAGUCUCACAAGGUUGUAGCGUACAUUUGAGUUCCUUCUUUCAAGCAUGUUACAAAACUGAUUUUUCCUUUAUGAUUGCAUGUAAAUUCAUAAAUUAUAACCACAACCAAGCAUACACCAAAGAGUAAAUCAAAUUUUCAUCCAUGUUUUAUAACUCUCUUUAACAGUCAUGCAAUUAAAAACCAAAUCCUCAUCAUUGUGUUGGAAGGUACCCUAAGGCACAAAUAAACAUACAAAAACAACUCUUUUUGGGUUUUUCAAAACAAUUUUUCAAAUGUUUUAUGAGAUUUUUCGGAUUUUUAUGUCAAAACACACUGAAACACUCCAAAACAGCUUAAAAACACUUAAAACAGCAAGGAACAACACUAGAAGUAAUGGGUGAUAAACUCCUACGAAUUUCAUGCAAAACAAUGGUUCCCCCCCCCCCCCACACUUAAAAUCAAACAUUGUCCUCAAUGUUUCAAGCAUAAACUCACACAAACAAACAACAAAUAAACAUGACAAGUAUGGCAAAGUAAAAAUUAGACAGAGUAGAGUUUAAGAACGCAAAUAUGGUUUUGGAGAUAGAUGAUCUUGUUAUCUUUCCACAUCUUUGAUCUCGAACUGGUUUGGAAUUCUGAGCGAGGAAUAUGAGAGUUCCUUGGUUUCAAAUUAGACUCCUUUUGCUGGGUUGAUUUGAUUAUGCAGUCUGCAUUCUUCUCUGCUUGUUUCUUCUGCACGGCGGGCAGGCACGAGGUAGAGGUGUUGGUUUGUUUCUUUCUUCAAUCUUUCCAAGUGCCCACCUCUUGCUUUCUUUCUCCUUGUCCCUAGCUGAGGAUAAAUUGGCAAAUUGUCUCCACAUGCUUCGAGGUAUCAUUUCACUUCCCUUAUCUGUUCCCCAGGCAGAUGUGGUAGACAAAGAUGAAGCAUAAAAUGAUGAAGAUGAGUACUCGAGAGCAAGGCUAGGUAAGCAAUCAGGAAAGGGUUCCAGGCAGUCGGUUCCAGAUCGGAAGAUUGAUACCAAGUGCUAGCUGAUUGCUCUCUUUCUCCUUAUCCCAAAACAACGACAAGGAGAAUGAUAGGGAGAAAGCAUGAUAUGAGAUACUCUUGCUUUCAACCUUCAUGAUAUGAAAUACUUUUGCUUUGGAUGAGUUGUUUCCAGAAGUACCUGAAGGAAUAAGGAACACUGAGUGACUCGAGAGGGUUUGUUGGAAAGGCAUUCUUGAAGAAGAAGAAGGGUUAUGUAUGUUUGCCUUGCAAUGGAGGGUGAAGGGUGACAUUUAUAGGAAUUAAUAACUGGUACUAUUCUUUCACUCUUGUCAGCAACCGUUGGAUGAUUUAAUAGUAAACUUCACGUGCUUUCUACUUCACAAGAGAUCUUUGACAGAUUGCCCGUAAUUUCCGCAAAGCUGACUGUGCAUGUGACAGACGCUGACACGUCUGGAAAAGCAAGUGCCUCUUCGAUAUUUGGAAUCGACACUUCGACAGACUGCCUGUGAUUUCCGUAAAGCUGACUCUGCAUGUGACAGAUGUUGACACGUCUGGAAAACGCUUCGACAAAUUGCCCAUGAUUUCCGCAAAGCUUACUCUGCAUGUGAUAGAUGCUGACAUGUCUGGAAAAGAAGAUGCCUCUCCGAUAUCUGGAAUUGCCUCUUCGAUCUGUGAAAUCCCGUCAAGUGCAGAGUGAUGCUUAAAAUAACUAAACACACAAAUUAACCCUAUUUGUGACAAUUGUAGUAAUGAUGUAAGUAGGGAUCGUUCUAACCGGGGAUUAACUAGGGGUGCUAAUCUAAUAUAAAUUGAUUCAAAAACGCAAAAACUAAACUUAAAGACUCUAACAAAACUACUAUGACUCAAAACAGAUUUUAAGCACUCAAAACUGCCUAAAACAAUCAAAUUGACUCAGAAAGAAACUAGAACUUGAUUUGGACGAAUUCCAAAGUGUUUAUGACUCCAAAUGCUUAAGAACACAAAAUAACACAGAUUUGAAUUACUAAGACUCAACAAAAUAUGGGGGAGUUGUGUUUGGACGAAAUUAAAGUAAAUUGGCAGAUUAUAAAGAAAACAGAUUGUAAGACAAAAUUAUGAUGAAUCAAUGGAUGAUGGAAUAGCUAAGGGUUUCUUCUCCACACAUGAAAUAUAUGCAACGUAAAUCAAUUUCCAGUUAUCAAUUCAUUAAGUUAUGAAUCUCGACACUCCAAGUUAAUUAGGUCCGCUUAAAUUAACCUUUAAAUUUCCCUAGAAUCAUUGAAUUGGAUGAAUAUGCAUCGCAAACAAAUUAUUCCUAACAAGUUCUCUAUAUGAUAGCAUGAUAAAGACACAGGUUAGAAUCAUUACGUUCUUUGGAAAUCAUAAGCAUCGACAAGGCAUUUGUAACUAUGAAAAGCAUGAUACUUUUGCCAGGAAUCUACUUAACACGAUCGUGACUAGCGACCUUUACUACUUGCGAAUAUAAAUUCAUAACGAUUAGGUGAAACAAAUUUAUAUCCUAGCACCAAAUUCAAACAU